UACAGAGGGGGCAAGCGUUAUUCGGAAUUAUUGGGCGUAAAGGGCGCGUAGGCGGCGAUUCAAGUGACGGGUGAAAUCCCUCGGCUUAACCGAGGAACUGCCUGUCAGACUGGGUUGCUUGAGACCGGAGAGGCGAGUGGAAUUCCCAGUGUAGCGGUGAAAUGCGUAGAUAUUGGGAGGAACACCAGUGGCGAAGGCGGCUCGCUGGACCGGAACUGACGCUGAGGCGCGAAAGCGUGGGGAGCAAACAGG
rnacentral:rRNA from 1 species